UACGAAGGGUGCAAACGUUGCUCGGAAUCACUGGGCGUAAAGCGCACGUAGGCGGAUUGUUAAGUCAGGGGUGAAAUCCUGGAGCUCAACUCCAGAACUGCCUUUGAUACUGGCGAUCUCGAGUCCGGGAGAGGUGAGUGGAACUGCGAGUGUAGAGGUGAAAUUCGUAGAUAUUCGCAAGAACACCAGUGGCGAAGGCGGCUCACUGGCCCGGUACUGACGCUGAGGUGCGAAAGCGUGGGGAGCAACAG
rnacentral:rRNA from 1 species